UACGCUGGCUUCUGACCACAAGCAGACCAAAGGCCCCGGGGAGCAGAAGAAGGGGAAGGUGGCGACUGCGUCAAAGGAGGAGCAGAACAGGCAGCAGAUCCUUGAAGAGAUGAAGAAGAGGACUCAGCUGCUGACCGACAACAGCUGGAUCCGCCAGCGCAGGGCCAGCUCCCUCAAAGAGCCCCUCUACACUGGUGGAACCCUCAGGAGGUGGGGUUCUGCUCCGUCAGGGGUUAGUUAUCUGGUCCCAUCGGGAGGUGGGGUUCUGCUCCCAUCGGGAGGUGGGGUCCCAUCGGGAGGUGGGGUCCUGGUCCCAUCGGGAGGUGGGGUUGUGGGCCCAUCGGGAGGUGGGGUUGUGGCCCCAUCGGGAGGUGGGGUUGUGGCCCCAUCGGGAGGUGGGGUUGUGGCCCCAUCGGGAGGUGGGGUUGUGGCCCAUCGGGAGGUGGGGUUGUGGUCUGUCAGGGAUAGUGGUGGGGUCCCAUCGGGAGGUGGGGUUGUGGUUCCACCAGGAGUUAGUGUUGAAGUCUCUCUAGAUGUAGGGCUCUAGUCCCUCUUAGGGUUGAACCUGCUAGUUGAUCACAGAACCGUUGGACCAGGAGUCAAAUAUCUGAACUAUUAGAUGAAAUAACCCGUUA
ensembl:lncRNA